rnacentral:rRNA from 1 species
UACGGAGGGUGCAAGCGUUGUCCGGAAUCACUGGGCGUAAAGGGCGCGUAGGCGGCUCAUGAAGGCUGUGGUGAAAGUCCGGGGCUCAACCUCGGAUCGGCCGUGGCGACUCGUGGGCUGGAGCACUGUAGAGGCGGGUGGAAUUCCGGGUGUAGCAGUGAAAUGCGUAGAGAUGCGGAGGGAACACCGAUGGCGAAGGCAGCCCCCCUGGGCUAACACUGACGCUCAGGCACGAAAGCGUGGGGAGCAAACAGGG